rnacentral:rRNA from 1 species
UGGGGAAUAUUGCACAAUGGAGGAAACUCUGAUGCAGCGACGCCGCGUGAGUGAAGAAGGUCUUCGGAUCGUAAAACUCUGUCCUUGGUGACGAAAAAAAUGACGGUAGCCAAGGAGGAAGCCCCGGCUAACUACGUGCCAGCAGCCGCGGUAAUACGUAGGGGGCGAGCGUUGUCCGGAUUUACUGGGCGUAAAGGGUGAGUAGGCGGUAAUAUGUGUCAGAUGUAAAAGGCUAUGGCUUAACCAUAGUUGGCAUUUGAAACUGUAUGACUUGAGUGCAGGAGAGGUAAGUGGAAUUCCUGGUGUAGCGGUGAAAUGCGUAGAUAUUAGGAGGAACACCAGUGGCGAAGGCGACUUACUGGACUGUAACUGACGCUGAGUCACGAAAGCGUGGGUAGCAAACA